UGGGGAAUCUUGGACAAUGGGGGCAACCCUGAUCCAGCCAUGCCGCGUGAGUGAUGAAGGCCUUAGGGUCGUAAAGCUCUUUCGCCUGUGAAGAUAAUGACGGUAGCAGGUAAAGAAACCCCGGCUAACUCCGUGCCAGCAGCCGCGGUAAUACGGAGGGGGUUAGCGUUGUUCGGAAUUACUGGGCGUAAAGCGCACGUAGGCGGACCAGAAAGUUGGGGGGUGAAAUCCCGGGGGCUCAACCCCGGAACUGCCUCCAAAACUAUUGGUCUAGAGUUCGAGAGAGGUGAGUGGAAUUCCAAGUGUAGAGGUGAAAUUCGUAGAUAUUUGGAGGAACACCAGUGGCGAAGGCGGCUCACUGGCUCGAUACUGACGCUGAGGUGCGAAAGUGUGGGGAGCAAACAGGAUUAGAUACCCUGGUAGUCCACACCGUAAAACGAUGAAUGCCAGUCGUCGGGUAGCAUGCUAUUCGGUGACACACCUAACGGAUUAAGCAUUCCGGCCUGGGGAGUACGGUCGCAAGAUUAAAACC
rnacentral:rRNA from 1 species